CACGCUGUAAACGAUGAGUGCUCGAUGUUGGGGGUUAAAACCCAGUGUUGACGUUAACACGAUAAGCACUCCGCCUGGGGAGUACGGUCGCAAGAUUAAAACUCAAAGAAAUUGACGGGGACCCGCACAAGCGGUGGAGUAUGUGGUUUAAUUCGAAGCUACGCGAAGAACCUUACCAACUCUUGACAUAUAGAGCGCGGGUAUCAGAGAUGAUACCUUCAUUUAGUUGGUUUUAUACAGGUGC
rnacentral:rRNA from 1 species